rnacentral:lncRNA from 1 species
UAAUUCUUCUAGUAAUUUUAUUUGUAUAAUUACUUUGAAUAUGACUUUUAGAAGAUUAUGAUUAUUAUACUGUUUCCUUAACAAACCAAAGCCGUUACCAACAUGAGUUUAAGUGUUGAUUUGACUCUUCUACUAAUUUUAUUUGCAUAAUUACUUUGAAUAUGACUUUUAGAAUGCUACGAAUUUCAUUAUGAUCAUAUGUAGACUUAUUUUUAAGAGCACUCUUGUUUCUUUUCAAGAAUAUGAAAUAGUCAUAUGAAUCCUUUAAAUUCUAAGUUUAUUUAUCAAUCUAUGCAUGUAUGUUUAAUCGUAAAACAAACAUGUUUAAGGCAUUUUUGAGUUAAUUAACUAAUUUAACAUAUGUGAAUUUAUUUGUCAUUCCUAAAUACGAUUUUCACCAAUAGUUUGAAUCAAACUUAUUGUUAACAAGUGUUAUCAUCAAAAUUAAAUAUGUCAUUAUUUCAACAAAUGGUUCAUUAACUAAUUCUUUGUAUGUUGAAAUAAUCAUCAACCUAAUCUUAAAAGGGGUUUACGAAUGAAUCAAAAUUUCAUACAACAACAAACCAAAUUUGAGCUUAGCUCAAGAGAUUGUACAUAAAUUGGCAAAAACAUAAAGAAUUACUGAAAUGAUGUGGUAAUUCACAAUUUUUAAGAAUGUGGUGUUACGUAACUAGAAUUAAACUAUUAAAUAUAGUCAAGGAACUUGAUUGUAUGCGCCUGAUUGACUUUUAAUAUGAUCCACAAUUAACCGAGGUUAAAUCUACACUAUAUUUUAUCCUCUCUCCUUUUCAAAAUGACUUUCUAAUAUUUCUUUUCUUUGCUCAUUAAAAUGGCACAUAGACCUAUUAAAAUACGACACGCAAUGGUGAAUAUUUUAUUUUGGAAGAAGGGGCUCAAAAUCACAUUGUUAGUUCUUCAUUAAAAUCGUGGAAAAAAGUUUUAUUUGCACAGUAUAACCCAGCUACUCCUGGUGACUCUACACAAAAUCUUCCCAGCUAGCUCAAAAAUUAUCAUGCCCUUGGCACUAUCAAUUUAAUAUAAUUUGAACUACUUCAUUUUCAAUUAGGAAAGUUUCUUAAUUAGUUGUCUAUAAUAGGUCAUGUUGACUAUAUUGAUUUUCUCAUUAUUCUACUUUAUUUAGUUUUUCUUGUUUAGAAUAUAGGCUGUAAUAUAUAUUAAGAGGACAAUGAUUAAUAAAAUUAAGCCUUUACAUAUUUCUUUUUGGUAUCAGAACCAACUAAACCCUAGCCUCCAACACUGCCUUCACAAUAGCCUAAACCCUAACCCACUAGCCACCAGCCAUAGGCCAACAACAGUCCUGCCUCUAUGCAUUCCCUGUGCAACCCAGUCCAACCAACAAUCACCAGACUCAACACUUGUAACAUCCUCUUCCCUUGUGCAGCCACCACUGCAGUCACCAGCAGCCCAACCCAACCCUCACACACAGAGCCCUUGCACAACAAGUCAUCUCGUGCAUAACCAUGCUUUGUACAGUCCAUCCUUGCGCCGUCUAGCACCGUUCAGGCCUUGCACAGGCAAGCUCUUGCACAGUCGCGCAGUCUAGCUUCGUUCAAGCCUCACACAGGCCAACGCAUACACCAUCAAGCAGUCCUGUAGGCCAGCCCAUGUGCCAUCCAGUAGCAUCAUAGUCCAGCAUAGCCGCAUAUUCCAGCAACCCCUACAUCGUCUAGUAGUCCUAUAGGCCAUCCCCUGCACUGUCUAGUACAUUUAGCAGCCGCGCAAUCUAGCACAGCCACACAGUCUAGCAACCAGUAGCCCCAUAAUCCAACAACCAGUAGUCAGUAGUCUAGCGCAGCCAUCAGUUGCACAGUGCAAUUCAGCCUCCAGUCAUUGCGUAGUCUAGUGUAGCCAGCAGUAGCUGCUCGUGCAGUCCAUAUAUCGUGAAGUCUAUAUGUCUGAUAGUAUGACACUUUAAAAAAAAUAUAUUCUCCUUUGAUUUCCUAAGAUUGAUUCUUGGUGUUACGUUGAUAGUUAACCCAGUCAAGGAGGUUGCCCCAGCCCAUAUGGUUUUGUGCCCAACUCCUAUCUACCUAUCUUUUAGUCCCACGGACGCUAUAGUUGCAGGUACUCUUAUCGCUUUUCAUGAUAAGUCAAGUCACCCCACUUGAAUUCUGAAUUUUGGAGCUAAUAAUAACAUGACUGGUGAGCUUUCUACUUUUACCUCUUCUAUUAGUUUCAUAAAUCAAUCUGUUUGUAUUGCUGAUGGACCAUCUAUUCCCAUUUAUAGUCAGGGUGAUGCCCACUUUUCCACAGAUAUUACUCUUUCCUCAAUUUAUUAUGCUCUGAAUUUUGCCUAUAAUUUUCUUUCUGUUAGUUGUCUUGCAAAAAACCUUAAUUGUGCCGUUGUAGUCUUACCAUCUCGUUGUUUCUUGCAGGACUUGAUUUCGAAGAAGAUUCUUGGCAGGGGAUAUGAGAGUGAUGAACUGUACUACUUUGGGGAUCCGCCAACAUCUAUUGCUUUGUCCUUCAAUCUUCAAGC